GCACAUGCAAGUCGAACGGCAGCGGGGACUUCGGUCCGCCGGCGAGUGGCGAACGGGUGAGUAAAGUAUCGGAACGUACCUUUCAGUGGGGGAUAACGUAGCGAAAGUUACGCUAAUACCGCAUAUUCUGUGAGCAGGAAAGCAGGGGAUCGCAAGACCUUGCGCUGAUUGAGCGGCCGAUAUCAGAUUAGCUAGUUGGUGAGGUAAAGGCUCACCAAGGCGACGAUCUGUAGCGGGUCUGAGAGGAUGAUCCGCCACACUGGAACUGAGACACGGUCCAGACUCCUACGGGAGGCAGCAGUGGGGAAUUUUGGACAAUGGGGGCAACCCUGAUCCAGCCAUGCCGCGUGAGUGAAGAAGGCCUUCGGGUUGUAAAGCUCUUUCGGCCGGGAAGAAAUCGUAUGGGUUAAUACCCUGUGCGGAUGACGGUACCGGCAUAAGAAGCACCGGCUAACUACGUGCCAGCAGCCGCGGUAAUACGUAGGGUGCGAGCGUUAAUCGGAAUUACUGGGCGUAAAGCGUGCGCAGGCGGUUUUGUAAGACAGGCGUGAAAUCCCCGGGCUCAACCUGGGAACUGCGCUUGUGACUGCAAGGCUAGAGUAUGGCAGAGGGGGGUGGAAUUCCACGUGUAGCAGUGAAAUGCGUAGAGAUGUGGAGGAACACCAAUGGCGAAGGCAGCCCCCUGGGCCAAUACUGACGCUCAUGCACGAAAGCGUGGGUAGCAAACAGGAUUAGAUACCCUGGUAGUCCACGCCCUAAACGAUGUCAACUAGGUGUUGGGUGGGUAAAACCAUUUAGUACCGUAGCUAACGCGUGAAGUUGACCGCCUGGGGAGUACGGCCGCAAGGUUAAAACUCAAAGGAAUUGACGGGGGACCCGCACAAG
rnacentral:rRNA from 1 species